UUUACUUAAGUGGUAUUCACAACUGUUUUUUAUCUUAAGUUUUGUCUUAAGAUGGACAAUUUUUGUCUUAAAUAUAAGUCAGCUACUACCCUAUCUUAAAGUUAAGAAAUUUCUUAACUUGGCAGUAAAUCAUCUUAAAAAUGGCGGACGGUAAACGUCGAUUCGAUUGAAAACUUGCGUUUUUUACUAGUAUUAGAUAUAGCAUUGAGGUAAUCAACGCCAAUAAUUACAGCAAUAAUGAUUUCGUUCAAAGUAAUUUAUACACACGAUAAAUGUGAGUAAAACAAGGGAGUUAAAUCGGCAAAAAAUUGAAGACGCAAAGGAGACGCUCAUUUCACAAACCGGAGUAUGAUCGUCAGUUUCUUGCUGAUGAUAUCACACUAUUCAUGAACCUCGGAUUUUGUAGUCAUCCAGACUGACAGUAGUAUGGAGAAUAAAGAUAUCAACAUAGUAGCAACAUGUUACAUAAUUUAUAAUGCUGCUGAACAUAGCACUACUUCAUUGACCAAAUACAUGGAGAAUGAAUCGGGAUUAAUGUGUAGUGACUAUAUACUACCAUAAUGUAUCAGAUUUUCUAUCUGACAGGUCAUGGCAUAUAACAUCAAAUAUCACCUGUUGCAACCUUAAAUCAUGGACACUAAAUACAUGAAAAACACAUAGGAACAAUGAAGACUUAACAGUUACUGUGUUCAUAAACACUGGAACACAUCAGUGGAAUCAAACUCUAGAAGACCACUAGUAAUCCAAAAGAUUCAUACCUGGGUACAUCAUCAAGGAGCCUUAUUGUUACUAACUUUUAUGCAGGACAUGUCAUUAUCAAAUUUCUUGUGUGAUAAAAUGUAAAAUCUAUCACUGCCGAUUGUGUUCAUAAUGUGCAAGAGGAAUUGGUCCAAUGUUUUCAUCGAAAAACACAUGAACAUUCUAACUUGUGAGAAACUUGAAGACUAUCAAAAGGAUAACUAUGAAAGAAAAUUUCAUUCAUGGAAAAAGAACUGUGUGAAUUAAGAUCAGAAUUAACAUUUCCUAGUAAUUGUUUUAAGUAAGAUUAUCAGCACCACUUUUUAUAGAAGAAAAAAUGAAUGUUAUAUUCAUUCGGUAUGACUGACCUGUUGGUGUUGUUGAUUUUCAUUAUACAAUACAUGUACUUACAAAUCUAUUACAUCAAAACUUUAUAUGUGGAUGAACCUUGAUGAGUUCAACCUGAACCCCUCAUUUUCAGGUCAAAAGGUCAAAGUCACUGACUUGUGGUAACCAAACAUAAAACUAGCCAUUUAAUAGGCAUUUACUGAGGAACAUCAGACUUUGACAAAUUGUAUGUACCAGAUUUAAUCAUGAUGAGUUGUACCUGACAUGAUACUCAUUUUGUGUCAAAAGGUCAUGGUGAUGGUUCACAAUGACCUGUGUUGAUAUUUUUAAUAAGAUUUUUAAGGUCAAGAACACAUAUUGAAAUGUGGGCACAGCCUGCUUAGUCAAAGUUAAGGUCGAUGUGAUUUUUUAUUCAAAUUAUCUAUUUUUGUAGAAAAUAUGAAGUUUACUAUCCAGAUAAGCUCUGAGAAAACUGGAGUGCACUGCUCUUCUGACAGCUCAAUCUUACUUGUUUUUUUUUUUGCUAUCCUUGAACUAUUCAUGAAAAUUGUUUGGAAUUUGUGAGCAUUUGAAUGAAAUUUUCUGUAUAAUUAGAACAGUCAAAACUGCAGAACUGGAGAUAUAAGCUUGCAUACCUCUUAAUUUUCUAAACUACUAUGCCGGCAGCUUUCAGUAUGUCUAAAAACAUUAAUCUGCAGUGCAAGCACUAUCAUAAUGUCAAAAAUAGAAAGCAUUGGCUAUGUACUUGGUCACAGAUUCUGAAAUAUGUAUUUUCUUCUAACAUGUAUGUGUGAUUUAAAAAAAACUGUUCAUGUAAAGUUUUACAUUUGAUAUUGCAAUUAAAAAGAAAUAAAUAAUAAAAAAAACAA